GCGCCAGUAGCUCAGGUGGAUAGAGCACUAGAUUCCGGUUCUAGGUGUCGGGGGUUCGAGUCCUCCCUGGCGCG
rnacentral:tRNA from 1 species